rnacentral:rRNA from 1 species
AGUCAAUAGAUACCCCGGUAGUCCACGCCGUAAACGAUGAGUACUAGGUGUAGGAGGUAUCGACUCCUUCUGUGCCGCAGUUAAACACAAUAAGUACUCCGCCUGGGAAGUACGGUCGCAAGAUUAAAACCCAAAGGAAUUGACGGGGGCCCGGCACAAGCAGCGGAGCAUGUGGUUUAAAUUUCGAAGCAACGCGAAGAACCUUACCUAGACUUGACAUCUCCUGAAUAGUGUAGAGAUACAUGAAGCCCUUCGGGGUCGAGGAAGACAGGUGGUGCAUGGUUGUCGUCAGCUCGUGUCGUGAGAUGUUGGG